CCCUGAAUGGAAAUGAGGGAGAAACUCUCAUCACGAUGGUGAGGGCCGGAGCAUGGUCAGCUUCGGCAAAUUAUUAACUUGGAUGCAGAGACCACAUCCUA
rnacentral:ncRNA from 1 species